GGGGAUGUAGCUCAGUGGUGGAACAAUUGCCUAGUAUGCAACAGGCCCUGGGUUCCAUCCCCAGCACCACAA
rnacentral:tRNA from 1 species